UCAGUGGUGUCGAAUCCUUUGUAAAGUUAUUGACAAGUGUAAAGAAGAAAACAGUUUCCUCCUACUGGUCUUCGAUAAGUACUUCAAGCAUAGCUGUCCAUAGAAUACAUACAGACUAUCCAGUGAAUGUUAUAUUGUAUAACUAUAUACACACAAGUAAAUGGCACUCUGGCAAUGAGUCUGACUGUAAUCACAGAUGACGUCCAAUCAACGAAGGUUAAUUCCUUCGAGCUUAGCACUUUGCUUCCCUAAAAUGUAUGUACCAUGCAUAUACUAUUGUAUAUAUACUUCCGUGAAAUAUGUAUAGCCACGUUAAAUACAUACAGGACAAACAUAACCUAACCUCACCUUCAAGGUUCGUUUACGAGGAAUCGAAAACUGCCACUGCUAUCGUGGAUAAUUCCUUGCAGCAAGGAUAAUUGCAAUAUCGACAGUUAUCAGCCGGCCCGGAGAAUGGCAGAUGUGUGCAUUCUGGAAUUAGGGGUACCAGCUAACGUAUACGGCCCUGGCUACCCCUGCUCUCCCACACCUCUGACUCAACUGUGGAUGCCUGCGUACCGUGUCUACGCGGCGGCUGCCCGUUCCGGGGGAUAUUUCCACGGCCAAUCUUCACGGGCCUGUCGGCUAUCUAGGAAUUUACAUUUUUUUCAACGCUCCUUCCGCCGACGAGGAAGGAUGGACUGGAGGGGACGUAAAAUACGAAGGAGAGGGGGCCGUGCCUUGCGACGUAGAGAGUGGGUGUCAGAGGUGAGGUGCGAUUGAAAAUCGAAAAUGUGCUUUGGGAUAAAGGGAAGAAGCAGACGAGGGGAAUGAAAUAUUUUUUGAAAAGGAC